UGGCUUUACAGGUCCUUAACAACAAUUGAUUGCUCUGUUGGCUUAAGUUAAUCGAAUUUAUGAAUUUACCGACGCAAUGCAAUACAAAUUUCUCGCUACAAAAAAUUAAAGAAAAGCGAAUUUGCCUCUUCUACACAAUAUACACGAUAUUUUUGCCUAAAUGGGAGUUUGUGACUUUUCUAUCAUAUUUUAUAACGAGUUGCUUAGUAUAUACAACCGAAUUUUAAAUUAUUGUAAAUUAAAGAUGUGUAGCUUAUGCAAAUGCUGUAUAAAAUUGGGUUGCCAACUGCUUUGUGUGUUGUUUUGUUCGAUUUUCGGGGUACUUUUAAUUCUGGCACUGGUUAUCUAUUUUGUAUGCUUCCAUAACAAGGGCGAUAGUUCCAAGUCCGAUGUCAAGGUGCUGAGUGACUUUUCUCUCUAAAAUUGCGACCUCAACAUUAUAAAGGUUUCUGCAUUUUUUUCUAUAUUUUGCUAAAACAAAUUUGAAUGCCACAGGUAAUAAUCUAUAAAUGAAAAAGGUUCCGGAUUCAUGUGGAAGUCUUCUGAAUAAAUAAUAGAUUUUGUCUAGUA